rnacentral:rRNA from 1 species
ACUACGGGUGGCAGCAGUGGGGAAUAUUGCGCAAUGGGCGAAAGCCUGACGCAGCGACGCCGCGUGAGGGAUGAAGGUCUUCGGAUCGUAAACCUCUGUCAGCAGGGAAGAACGGUCACUGUGCUAAUCAGCAGUGACUUGACGGUACCUGCAAAGGCAGCCCCGGCGAACUCCGUGCCAGCAGCCGCGGUAAUACGUGGGGUGCGAGCGUUAAUCGGAAUUACGUGGAGUAAAGCGUGCGUAGGAGGUAUGUCAAGUCAAUGGUGAAAUCUCCGCGCUCAACGUGGGAACUGCCUUUGAAACUGGCAAACUGGAGUGUGUGAGAGGAUAGUGGAAUUCCAGGUGUAGGAGUGAAAUCCGUAGAUAUCUGGAGGAACAUCAGUGGCGAAGGCGACUAUCUGGCACAUAACUGACGCUGAGGAGCGAAAGCGUGGGUAGCAAACAGGAUUAGAUACCCUUGUAGUC